rnacentral:misc_RNA from 1 species
GAUGAAGAACGCAGCGAAAUGCGAUAAGUAAUGUGAAUUGCAGAAUUCCGUGAAUCAUCGAAUCUUUGAACGCAUAUUGCGCCCUCUGGUAUUCCGGAGGGCAUGCCUGUUCGAGCGUCAUUUCACCACUCAAGCCUGGCUUGGUGUUGGGCGACGUCCCCUUUGGGGACGCGCCUCGAAACGCUCGGCGGCGUGGCACCGGCUUUAAGCGUAGCAGAAUCUUUCGCUUUGGAAGUCGGGGCCCCGUCUGCCGGAAGACCUACUCGCAAGGUUGACCUCGGAUCAGGCAGGGAUACCCGCUGAACUUAAGCAUAUCAAUAAGCGGAGGA